CCCAGGCCCUCUUCUGCUACCCUGGGGGAAAAUCAGACUUCUAGACAUGCACAGACACUCAUGAAAAGCUCCUAACUCACACAGAGAGAUCCCCAGUCUGGCACAAGUCCACGUCUUAACACGCUGUGCUGUUUCCCCUGCCCUGAACACAACACUGCUUCUCUCCCCAGGGUCCUGCAGCUGGUUCUCUCAAGGAUCCCAUAAAAGCAAUUUUAGAACUUAUUCAAACUUCUGAUCCUGAGGGGAUGAAAAUAGCACUUCUGCCCAUUCUAAAAGAAUUUCCUUACCUCAGGAAGGAACAUCUGAGUGCAGUGCUGGACAUCAAAGAUUCACUCAGCCGAGAAGACAGAGCUGCUCUCUUGAAGGCAUUUCAUGACAAUUGCAGGGAAUCGGAAACAGAAGCAAACUUGCUCUUUGCAGAUAUAGAAGUUAAACCUAGAAAAUACGGACUCUGUGGGUGCCUCUGCUGUUAGCAAAGGUGGGUGUGUGUGUGAGUGUGCUUGUGUGUAACAUGUACCUGCACAGGUAGGCACCCUGCUUACAGGGAGAUGGAGCUGUAGUUUCACCUCCCCAGGGCCCUCAUUGCUCUGUACACUGGCU
rnacentral:lncRNA from 12 species